rnacentral:lncRNA from 1 species
GUAAAAGGCAAGAAACAAAGACAAGAUAAAGAUGAAAACGUGUUCUUUAUUGACUCUCUCUUACCUUACCCAAAGACUAGCCCUUUUUACAUGUUUAUAUAAAAGACUCAGAUUAAGCUCUACCCACUACAUCACAGCAGGUUAAGCUCACCUGCUCUACCCACUACAUCACAAGCUCACCUGCUCUACCCACUACAUCACAUCCGACAGAGACAGGACGGACUUCUUCAUAUUCUCCAUUUGGGGUUUAUACGAAGUAUCAGUAUGGCCUUUA